UUCUUUUCAUUUGAAUUGGAAUGAAAACUCUCUCUCAAAACAAAAAACAAAAAAAAAAAGGAAAAGAAUUGGAAUGAAAACACGGGGCGGCGCGUGACAAGUUUUAGAACACGCGAGACCAAGAAGUUAUCAGCCUUUUCUUUUUCACUUGAAUAUUGGAAAGAAAACAUGUGGAGGCGCGUGACAAGUUUCAGAGCACACUAGGGCAAUACAUAGCUUUUCUGCCUUUCCACGCUCGUUUUUGGAAUGAAAACGCGGGGCCAAAGGGAUCCCCUAGCUCUCCUCAAGGACGGGAACUAACCCAGUUAGCUUGGGUUUCGGCAUGGUGCUAGAGCUGGCGGGUUCAAGCUACGCGCCGGAGAGAGGGACUUUUGGGGCCUUUGGACUCGAUCAGUGAGUUGGGAGAGAAGCCAAAAUAUGGAUAUGGUACAUACUACGUACUUAUACAGUUAUACUAUACUGUAUUUUGCUCACGUUCCACUUUAACUACUACUCCAAACUCCAAAGAGAGCUGUACUUCCUUCCUGCGAGCAAAUUUGCAAUUGAUGUCGACGGUCAAAUUUCCCUAAAAUUUCCCUUUUUUUCUUCUUCGUAAAAUAAUGUAAUAAUUGGAUGGGUAUGGCUUCGGCAGCAGACAGAAGCGUUGUGAGCAGCUUUGUUGCGGCGCCGUUGGUGUCAAUAGUCAACGGAAGUUUGUUGUUGGAGGUCUGGGAUGCCAUAAUGGCAUGUUAAAUCCUUCGUCAUUGAGCCGUAAAGUUUCAACUCAAAUGAGGUUUUGAGCUUAAGGAUCAGAUUGAAAGCUUUAAUUUUGAAAGCUUUUUAUGGCCUAUUGAACAGCUUAAAUGCGGCUGGGAAUUCAGUGAUCCAAUUGAAGGAUUCAAUUUUGGAAGCUCUUUAUCACCUACUGAACAGAUUUGGGUUCUUGUAUAGAUAUGCUCUCGGGAAUGCCGAGAUUAUCCAACAACUAGUUCUGGUGGGUGGAGUUAGUUACUCGUAGGUUUUACUUGAGUUCCAAGGGCUCCUCUUUAAAUGGGUUCCCUACCUUACAAAAAGAAAGAUAUGUUUAUGUAUGUAUGUAAAUGUGCUAGCUUAAGGGCUCAUUGAACUUAGGAGCUAGCUUCUAGAUACACUUAAUUUGGAAUUAUUAAGAAGAGUUAGUUAAG